UACGUAGGGUGCAAGCGUUGUCCGGAAUUAUUGGGCGUAAAGAGCUCGUAGGCGGUUUGUCACGUCGGAUGUGAAACCCCGGGGCUCAACCCCGGGCCUGCAUUCGAUACGGGCAGACUAGAGUUCGGCAGGGGAGACUGGAAUUCCUGGUGUAGCGGUGAAAUGCGCAGAUAUCAGGAGGAACACCGAUGGCGAAGGCAGGUCUCUGGGCAUUAACUGACGCUGAGGAGCGAAAGCAUGGGGAGCGAACAGG
rnacentral:rRNA from 1 species